UGCACGGCAGACUCACCGGAAACUUGUGGCUUGUGGUUUCCGUUUCUGCUUUUCUGCUCAGUUCCAGGUUUUUUCCUCUGAGCUCUCUGAGUCCUCUGCCUCAAAAACUGCAUCUUGAUCUUUUUCAUCAGACAACUCAAUAUCUGAGUUUUCAUGAACAAUUCGCAGUAACAUUCUCUCUACCUCUGACAGUGAAUACCUUCCUUCGUAAUUGAAAAUACAGAGAAAAAAAGAUUCUUCCAGUGAUCCCUACAGUACUGACUAGAUUCUCCUCAGCCAUGCCAUCCUAUAGCAUGUGUCCCUGGGUCCUGCUGUUAUCUGUGCUGAAGGUCAUAACCGGUAAGUUGACAGAAUGGCUUCUUUGUUUUCUAAAUGUUUCAGCUUGGUCCUAUUCUGUUGUAUUAUAAUCCAGUUUUAUAACUGUAUAUCUUUUGUGCUCAGCAUAGAAAACGGAGAACAUACCUGAGCAUAGA